rnacentral:sRNA from 1 species
GCCAGGCAUGGUGGGGCAUGCCUGUAAUCCCAGUGACUCUAGAGGCUGAGGCAGGAGGAUUGCAAGUUCAAGGCCAGCCUUAGUAACUUAGUGAGGCUCUAAUAAACUUAGUGAGAGCCUGUCUCAA